AUGUCUCUACAGCGAUGGCGUUUCAAUGCUGUUUCUUAUGAGAAGGGCAGCUGUCCAGCUUUUCAUCCCAGCCUGACUGAAGGAUGGAACUUCCUGGUUUUUUAUCCCUCCCUGUUUGAGGAGGAGAGCAAGCAGGAGAUGACACUGGCAUGGUUGGCCAUCAUGAAGAUUGUGGAAUACAUCUGGGGCAACUGGUGCUGCAAAUGCAGAAGACCGGGGGCAGAGAAGGGCCUCCCCUGGAGGUGCAUUGUGAGAAGAUGGCCUGUGAGCAAGGAUGGGAGGGUCAGGACCAGGAAGGUUGAACUUGGGCAAUGGUCCAGAAAAGGAGUGAUAAGAGCCUGAUAAGAGCUGAAGAGGGGGAGAACAGAAAGGACCUAGAGACUGAGGAGGCAGAUGAGACCAGACUCUAGGUGAUUGACUGUGGGGGUGGGAGCGUGGGGGUGGAGCCAAGUCCUCAAAUUCACUGUUGGAUCAUCACCUGCUGUGGGUCAGUGUGGAUCUGAGUACUGGAGGCCACCCAGAAUCAUAGCCAGUGCAUCACAAACAUCCCUGAGUGAUGGAACAAGAAUGUUUACAUCCAGAAAUUCCUUGUUCAGCCUCCCUCCCAGGAAUGCACCAGGACCUAAAUUCUUCUGUACAGAGGAAAGGUACAGGCCUUGGAAUGGCCUCUCCGGCAUUGUUCCUUGGCAAACACAGGAAGAUGGGUUUCCUCUAGCUUUGUGGUGCUGACAUCUGAAUCCGGACCCCUCCCCCAGCCUUUGGGGUAGGGAAAGGGAGGCAGAGGACCAGGCAGGCAAUGGAAAAUAAACACCCGUCCCCUGCUCUUCUGGCUUGUUUCAUGUUCUUAGAAUUUCCUCUCUUCGAUUCCGGCUUUGUUAUUUUAAAAUGCUAUGCAUUGGUUAGGGCUGGGAAACUCCCUUGUUUCUGUGGCAAGGUGGCUCCACAUUGGGAACACAGUCCUGGCACCCCAGGAGAAGGGUCCCAGCCAGCAGGCCUGCAGCCCAGUGUCAGAGUGAGCUCCUGACUCAGCCUGUGUGAGGGAGACUCUUGGGGCCGGGUGUGUGUCCUUCUGCAUGAGCAUAUGCUUGUUUCACAGCAGGAACCUGGCGGUGUUUUGGUUCCAGCUAUCUGGGCCAGGGCCAGGCUGGAGUAGUCAUGGCUCUGAUGGGAUGUGGUGGGGCCUCAGGGGGCUCCAGAUGGGCCUGGGCUGAACGUGUAGGGAGAGGACACCCCUUGGCCACCAGAGAGCUGUCCCGUGCCCACAUGACCUGGGCUGCCUCCUCUCCUGGGCUCUGUGUGGUGGACACGUGAGCGGUGUGCUGGCCUUUCCAGCGAGGCUUCCCCCUCUCACCCUUCUCUCCUGAUCCCCAUCCCUGCAAGAACUGCUCAUUGUAGUGUUUCCUUUAAUCACCAAUUCUUUCUUUUUUCCUUCCUUUCUUUCUUUCUUUCUUUCUUUCUUUCUUUCUUUCUUUCUUUCUUUCUUUCUUUCUUUCUUUCUUUAACAACUAUUUAUUGAAUGCUAUCAGGUGUCUAGCACUGUGCUGGGGGCUGUAAAUACAGAGACAAAUGAACUAGAAAGAUUGGGAAUCUUAGGGGAAAAUGCCAUAAUCAAGAUGAAUAGUAUUUUACUGUGUUUUUUUUUGUUUGUUUUUUGUUUUUUGUCUUUUGUCUUUUGUCUUUUUAGGGCUGCACCCAUGGUACAUGUAGGUUCCCAGGCUAGGGUCUAAUUGGAGCUGGAGCUGUUGGCCUACACCACUGCCACAGCAACUCAAGAUCCAAGCCAUGUCUGCAACCUACACCACAGCUCAUGGCAAUGCCAGAUCCUUAACCCAUGGAGCAAGGCCAGGGAUUGAACCUGCGUCUUCAUGGAUGCUAGUCAGGUUUGUUAACCACAGAGCUACGAUGGGAACUCCCAUGAAAUAUUAAAAAAAAAAAAAAAAAAAAAUCAGGAGUUCCCACUGUGGCACAACAGGAUCAGCGGCAGCUCUGAAGCUCCAGGAUGCAGGUUCGAUCCCCAGCAAGCACUGCGUGUUAAGGAUCUGACAUUGCUGCAGCUGGGGUGUAGCUCACAACUGCAGCUCAGUUCUGAUCCCUGGCCUGGGGAGCUCCAUAUGCUGUGGAGUAGCCCACAAAAGAAAAAAAAUAAAAUUAAAAUAAAAAAAAUCAAUCCAUGGUGAACAAAAUAGUAGAAUUUUAUUUUUAUUUUUUUCUUUUUGUGGCUGUACCUGGGGCAUAUGGAAGGUACCAGACUAGGGGUCUAAUCAGAGUUUCAGUUGCCAGCCUACACCACAGCCACAGCAACACAGGACCUGAGCUACAGCCAUGACCUACACCACAGUUUGCGGCAAUGGCGGAUCUUUUAACCCACUGAGCAAAGCCAGGAUUGAAUCCAAAUCCUCAUGAAUAAUAGUCAGGUUCUUAACCUGCUGAGCCACAACAGGAACUCCAAAAGCAGAAUUUUAAAAAAAGAUUUGUAGCAGAGUACAGCUCUACGCUGGGCCAUACUGUAGUCUGAGUGAAAAGAAAAUCAGUAAGACUGAUCAGGGGUUCAGAAUUGAAUACAGCAUGGACAGAAUAUCAUACAAGCAUUAAAAUAUCUCAGGAAAGUUUCCUUCUUGACAUACAAAGAAACUCUUGGUAUACUGUUCAGUGAAAAAUAGGAGUUUGUAGAAUAAAGUAUGGUCCUAUUAAAAAUAUAUCCUGAUACUGGAAACUAUAAGAGGCUAUGCCAAGACGUUAAAUGCCUUCUCUCUUUUAUCCCCUCUCUUUUAUGGCCCUUUCUUUGUUUGUUUGUGUGUUUUUUUUUGGUUAUUUUAAGAGUGAACAUGUAAGAGUUGUUUAAUUUUCUCAAAGAUAUUUUUAAAAUGCAAGAGAAUUGUGGUAGAGCAUGCUGGGCUAUAUAUUGUAGCCAAUUGUGGGCUUUCUGACCUAUAAGAGACGGAGAAUUCCCCAAAUCAACCCCCUUCUCAAUGCCUGCAAGAGGGGCAGAGCCAGGAUGACCAUGCCCACUUUAUCUACAGGGGAAACUAAGGUUCUGGGAGCUAAAGACACCCAGAGAAGAGGACCCAUUGGAACCGGCCUUUGCAUGCAGCUCUGCCUACUGGGAUCUGCAUCACCCACACCCUGUAUGCCAGGUCUCUUGCUUCCCAGCUUCUUCCAAACUAAAACCCCUGAGUCUCUCUUCUUCUCAGGCAGCAGUUCCCCGUUGACUUACCUCUUCUGUUGGUGCUUUCUCAACUGAAAGCAUAACUGUAGGAAGAAAACCUGCAAGAAACAUCUGAGGGGUUGUGGCUGGUCCCUCUCUGGCCUGGUAAGGGAGUGAGAAAGUAUUUUCAGUGUUAUGUUUUCACUCUGGCACAGACACACCCCAAAGAUUGGCAUGAAUUAUACUUAAUUUUCUAAAGCCCCCAUCUGCCAGGAAAUGCCUAGUGGUAUUUCCCAGAGUUCAGAAGCCAUCAGCCCUUCGUGCCAGUAGGCUUGACUAUCUCUUGCCCAGCAGCAAACCUCGGGCCCAUCCUCUGGGGAGGUCCCUGAGGGGAGAGGAGCCUGAGGCAGCAGUGCCAC
rnacentral:lncRNA from 1 species